CCUAGCUCUUACAAACGAGCUAUGUAUGUAAAACAAGUAAAAGUCUUCUCUCAGUUACCUUUCGAUACCUUUCGUUUAGCUCCUGCGACUGCUUCUCUUCAUAAUCCAUAAAUAGCUUUUGUUAUCAGCUUCAAUUUAAAUUUUAUUUAUAUAGAGGUAUCUAUGUCUAAAACAACUGGUUCAGUAAAAUGGUUCAACGAAACUAAAGGUUUCGGUUUCAUCACUCAAGACAACGGCGGCGCUGACGUGUUUGUACACUUCAACUCAAUCGUUUCUGAAGGCUUCAAAACUCUUGCUGAAGGCCAAAAAGUUAGCUUCGACGUUGAGCAGGGCAAAAAAGGCCCACAAGCUGCUAACGUAACUGCGCUUUAAGAUAUUCUGGUGUGGUGAGCUUUCACCACACCAACU
rnacentral:sRNA from 1 species